rnacentral:tRNA from 4 species
UCGUUAGCUCAGUCGGUAGAGCAGCGGACUUUUAAUCCGUUGGUCGACGGUUCGAAUCCGUCACGA